GCAUGGAUUUGGAUUUAUGACAGGCUCAUCCCCGUGGCCUCUCAUAGUGUCCCGUGCUAGAGCAAACUGGCUCCUAACCAUUGCCCAGCCUUGGUGCAUGUAGGCUGCUGGCACUGAAGUGGGUCACACAAUG
rnacentral:snoRNA from 14 species